GGCAACGCGAAUGCUACCGCCUAUGCUACGCCUACCGUGUGCCCUCACAAAACCGGACUAGAGUCAAGCUCAACAGGGUCUUCUUUCCCCGCCGAUCCGUCCAAGCCCGUUCCCUUGGCUGUGGUUUCGCUAGACAGUAGAUAGGGACAGCGUGGUGAAGGGAAAGAGAGAAAGAGAUUGAGAGAAAUGAAG